CUGCCACAAACUGCACCAGUGCCUGUUUACCUGGUUGCCAAACUCACUUCGGCACGUAAACUUGAUAAUGUCAGUCAAGAGUAAAUGUACCAAAGUGCCCAGAGAGGAUCUGCACUGAAAAGAAAUCCUAUGGAGGCACAGCACAGCCCAGGGAGAUUCUGUGACUGAUCUGCAUUUGUUGCUGUGCGCUGAGGGAGGACGAGGAGGACAUAUAGACGACCUCUCAGCGGCUGUAGGACACGUCGACAUCCUGUCUGUGUUGCCCCACGCAUAUUUUCUUCCUGGAAUUUUAGAUCAUCGCGUCCAUGAAGACUUUGCCGACAAGAACUCCAUCUCCAAGGAAGGAGGCUUUGAUGGACACCACUGAAGAAAGCAGAUGGAGCAGCAAAGAUGAUGGACACUGGCAGAACUUCCUUUGCACCGAAUGAAAUGCAGACAGAGGACUGCUGACAAACACAGUCCGCUUUCACUGGAGACCUCAGGAGAAAGAAAGAGACUUCCCUGUCCGACUUGCCUUCAUAAAAGAGGUAAUAUUAGGUCUCCUUAGCCUUACUGUGGAGGGUGUCAUUUGUAUCCAAUAGAACAAUCCACAGAGGUUCUUUGAUGUCCCUUUAGCCAGAGAGUUGUGUUUUAAAAGGAUGAUUGAGAACUGUCAAAUUUUAGCUGAUCAUCCUGCUUUGAAAGUAUAUGUGUCACACAAAACAGAGGACACAGGGAAGGCUGGGCCCAAGUGCAGGAUCAUUU
rnacentral:lncRNA from 1 species